AUUAAACUAUUGAAUAUUUCUUGAUUUCAGAAUAAAAUGUCGUGGGAUCCUCAGUAUCAGGAUAAUUAUCAGUAUGAUGCUCAGUAUGACCAGUACGGUGGGUAUCCAGCUAAGAAACCUGCAGAUCCAGUUCAGCAAACCUUUUACAAUCCGAACCAGUAUCAGAGCUCUCCACUACCAGGAAACGGCCAGGACUCAAGCUUUGGUACAUACGGGGGAUCUGAGUACAAUCCAGGGUAUUUGAACCCUACAGGGAUACCGCAGGCGGGAGGACGAUUAACUCCCGCCGGAAUAUCGCAGGGACAAGCUCCCGCAGGACAUCAACAGUUUCUGAUGCCUGGUACAGGAAUGCUUCAGGACCCCAUGGUCACGAACCUCGCCAUGUCCUACGGGAGGGACUUCGUCGGAAAGGGUCAGGAGGAGAUUAAGAAGAAUCUAGAUAAAUAUGUUUCAAUUGGACAGCUAAAGUAUUAUUUUGCCGUGGAUAACUCCUAUGUGAGCAAGAAGCUUGGACUUAUUCUCUUUCCAUUCACACACAAGGAUUGGUCCAUCAGAUAUAAUCAUGACGAACCAGUUCAGCCCAGGUUUGAGUUAAAUGCCGCAGAUCUUUAUAUACCCAGCAUGGCGUUCGUGACGUAUAUUCUCGUGGUCGGAUACAUGCUCGGGGUCCAGGAGAGGUUCAGUCCUGAGAUGCUGGCAACCACGGCUAGUGGAGCUCUUACUGCACUCUUCCUAGAGAUCCUGAUUGUGUACCUGUGUACUACUGUGAUGUCGAUCACUUCUACCCUGGCUAAGUGGGAUUUCCUUGCCUUCAGUAUGUACAAGUAUGUUGGAAUGAUCUUCAGUUUAUUCUCCGGGUUCCUACUCUCCAAACUUGGAUACUAUUCUGCUCUUCUCUACUCCACUCUAGCUCUAGCAAUAUUCCUCUUCAGAACUCUUCAUCUUAGGAUCGAACCAGAGGUGCAUGGAGUAGAGAGUCAUGGAAAGCGUAAGAUCUGGUUGAUAAUGUUGAUGGUAAUCUGGCAACCCCUGGUUAUGUGGUGGUUAACAUACAGCCUAGUUCCUACACAGCUUACCUCAACUCAUGUUACGGAAGAAAUAUAGAUAAAUAUAUUUACAACAAAUACGGAAAAUUUACCAAUAUUUUUGAUUUGGAAAUUUGUUUAUUUAUUAUUGGAUCCAACAAUUAUAUCUAAUCUAGAAUUAGAGUUGUUUAUUGACCUAAAUAACCUGUUCUCUGCCUAACUUGCAUUUUCCAUCGUAUAAAUAAUAAACAAAUAGUGCCAAAUAAUUUAUUUGUUAUUUGUGCAUUUUAAUUACUUGAAAAUUUGUUAUUGUUUUCACUUAAAUCUUAAAACAGCAUAUGUCUCCUAAUAUGAUAUAAUUAUUUCUAUUUAAUAAAACCUGACUCAACAAUA